UACAGAGGUCCCAAGCGUUGUUCGGAUUCACUGGGCGUAAAGGGUGCGUAGGUGGCCAGGUAAGUUCGGUGUGAAAGCUCGGAGCUUAACUCCGAAAUGGCAUUGAAUACUAUCUGGCUGGAGGGUCGGAGGGGAGACUGGAAUUCUCGGUGUAGCAGUGAAAUGCGUAGAUAUCGAGAGGAACACCAGUGGCGAAGGCGAGUCUCUGGACGACUCCUGACGCUGAGGAGCGAAAGCGUGGGGAGCGAACAGG
rnacentral:rRNA from 1 species